rnacentral:piRNA from 1 species
UAGCCAAGCUUGGACUGCAUUCUGGUAUUC